AGAGUUUGAUCCUGGCUCAGGACGAACGCUGGCGGCGUGGAUUAGGCAUGCAAGUCGAACGGUAUAAACCUUUCGGGGUUUAGAGAGUGGCGAACGGGUGAGUAACACGUAGGUAAUCUACCCUCAAAACGGGGACAACCCAGGGAAACUUGGGCUAAUACCGGAUGCGUGCAAGCAAUGUUUUGGCUGUUCAUGCUAUUCACGGAAGUGAGUAGAGUUAAUGGUUGAGAGCAUUAUUUGCAUAAAAGGUGGCAUAUGCUGCCGUUUGAGGAUGAGCCUGCGUCCUAUUAGUUAGUUGGUGAGGUAAUGGCUUACCAAGGCGAUGAUAGGUAGGCGGCCUUAACGGGUGGUCGCCCACACUGGGAUUGAGAGACGGCCCAGACUCCUACGGGAGGCAGCAGUCGAGAAUAGUCUACAAUGGACGGAAGUCUGAUAGUGCGACGCCGCGUGAACGAAGAAUCCCUUCGGGGUGUAAAGUUCUUUUAUACGUGAGCAGUGCCCUUUAUAUGAAUAGUAUAGAGGGAGGGAUUUAAGCGUAUGAAUAAGCAACGGCUAACUCCGUGCCAGCAGCCGCGGUAACACGGGGGUUGCAAGCGUUGUCCGGAAUUACUAGGCGUAAAGUGCAGGUGGGCGGAUAGAUAAGUUUAAGGUUAAAGGCUACGGCUUACCCGUAGUAAGGCGUUAGAUACUGUUUAUCUGGAAUGCGGUUGAGGGAGACAGAAUUCCUGGUGUAGCGGUGGAAUGCGCAGAGAUCAGGAGGAAUACCGAAAGCGAAAGCAGUCUUCUAAGCCGAUAUUGACGCUAAACUGCGAAGGUGUGGGGAUCAAACAGGAUUAGAUACCCUGGUAGUCCACGCAGUAAACGAUAAUCACUAGUGUUGGGUUCGUAUAGGACUCGGUGCCGGAGCUAACGCGAUAAGUGAUUCGCCUGGGGAGUACGAUCGCAGGUUGAAACUCAAAUGAAUUGACGG
rnacentral:rRNA from 1 species